rnacentral:rRNA from 1 species
CUACGGAGGGUGCAAGCGUUAAUCGGAAUUACUGGGCGUAAAGCGUACGUAGGCGGUUAUUUAAGUCAGAUGUGAAAGCCCCGGGCUUAACUUGGGAACUGCAUUUGAAACUGGGUAACUAGAGUUUAGUAGAGGGGAGUGGAAUUUCAGGUGUAGCGGUGAAAUGCGUAGAGAUCUGAAGGAACACCAGUGGCGAAGGCGACUCCCUGGACUAAAACUGACGCUGAGGUACGAAAGCGUGGGUAGCAAACAGUAGUAGAAACCCUAGUAGUCC